GCGGUUGUAGCUCAGCUGGAUAGAGUGAUUGGCUACGAACCAAUAGGUCGGGGGUUCGAGCCCCUCCAACCGCACCA
rnacentral:tRNA from 2 species